ensembl:lncRNA
AAGUCACUUCAGUCGUGUCCGACUCUGUGCGACCCCAUAGACGGCAGCCCACCAGGCUCCCCCGUCCCUGGGAUUCUCCAGGCAAGAACACUGGAGUGGGUUGCCAUUUCCUUCUCCAAUGCACGAAAGUGAAAAGUGAAAGUGAAGUCGCUCAGUCGUGUCUGACUCUUAGCGACCCCAUGGACUGCAGCCCACCAGACUCCUCCGUCCAUGGGAUUUUCCAGGCAAGAGUACUGGAGUGGGGUGCCACUGUCUUCUCCGAAAGCAUCACUGCUGUCUCUCGUUCUUACGAAGCAACGUGGUUGUUUUAAGAAGAAGAGAGAAACGAUUCUAGCUUUAGCUGUGGGAACGUUCCUGCUUGCUGGCCUGACUCGACCAUUGGCUGGUCUGGGGUAAAAGUACAAAGCUUGGACGUGCAGCUUUGUCUCCCACCCGAGAGGCCUCAUCUGCACAGGUGCGGGUACUCCAUCUUCACAUUUCAGAGGAGGAAAGUGAAGCAGGGAGAGGUUUUAAGGCACCAAAGUUUGCAUACCUGGUAAAUAAUGGAGCCAUGAUGACAAGCCAAGUCUUUGUCCAGUCUCUUGUUUUUUACUGUGAUCUCAUUCUUUCUUCUAAGGAAAAGUGCGUUUCCUGACCCGAGCUGCCAGGAGCUGUCCACAGGAUUCCAUGUGUAUGAAUAUGCCAUCGACACGGCAGAAGAGGAAAGCCGCGGAGUGGUACCAGCUCCCACAGCAGCAUUCUCUGUGAGUUCUCCCGUGGUGAGUGCGGCAGCCAAAGGAUUCCACAGCUUCAUCCCACUCUUACUCUCAGACUCCACUCUGCAGCCUCGGCACUGCCCUCCGCAUCACAGAAGAGAAAUGGACCCUCCUUUCCUGGAUCAUCAACUAUUUUUCCAUCCUUCCUCAAUACCCACUUUCAUGAUCAUUCUCUAGAACUUAUUACCAACAUCUCUGUCACUCUUCAUAAGCUUAACUUAGAGUCUCAUUCUCUGAAAACCAUAUCUUAUGCUUCCCAUUCAUUUCCCCCAAAUGUCUAAGGCACCAAGAACUCACUUAACCUCACAGGGAACUCUGAUUGACCCUAGUGCUGUCCCAGAAGCCCCUCAGUCUUUCCUUAAAUCUUGCUGUGAAUAUUCUCAUCUAGGUAGCAGACCAAGGUUGGAGAAAAGCAUACAAUUGUGACAACUUUAAAUAAAAAAAUAAAUGAAUGACCACUAAUCUCAAGUGGAAUCUUAGCAUUGCCAGGAAACACAUUACUUCUCUCUCCUGCCUUGAGCUUCCCUGGUGGCUCAGCAGUAAAGAAUCUGCCUGUCAGUGCAGGAAAGCUGAGUUUAGUCUCUGGGUCAGGAAGAUUCCCAGGAGAAGGAAAUGGCAAUCCACCCAGUAUUCUUGCCUGGGAAAUCCUGUGGACAGAGGAGCCUGGCUGGCUAUAGUCUGUGGAGUUGGGAACAGUCGGACAUGACUUAGCAACUAAACGACUGCCUUUGUUCUCCUAUUACAUUAGGCCAUUGUUCUACAACUUUCCUCCAAAGGCCCUAACCUCCUUCUCAAUAGUUCUCAUCUGAUGAUCUUGCUAG